AGAAGGCUCCUGGAUGACAUCAACCGGAACCCGUAGUCGUGCUUGCGACUAUCGCGUCGAAUUAGUCAGGGUAAGUUGGUUCGUAUUCCCAUUAACUAGGUCUAUAAAUAGAUUAAAUAGAAUUGUUGGUCACAAUAAAUAUUAUUAAUUUAGUAUGCGUAUAUUGUGAUGAUUGAUUUAGAUAGCUCGCUAAAUCAAGUAAUUAAGUUACACAGUUUAGAGAGUUAAUAAAAAGCUAAGAAUAAAAAUAGAUUUUCUAGUGUAAUAUGUCAAUUUGAUUAAUGGAUAUAGUCGAUGUCCUGCUGUGAUAUCCAUGGUGCUUAAUGCUUGGUUUUAAGUGUUUCAUGCUUUUUAGCGUAGAUUAUCUAUAUUAUACUCGUUAUAUAUGUGCUCAUACAUGUGCAUCAUGCAUCUCAUGAGGUACGAUAAAUAAUCGCGUGAUGCGGAAGAAGAACCAAGCCGACCCCAAGCGUGGGCUAAUCUGCAAGCUGAAGCUGAUGAAUCAACCUGAAGACGGUUAAAUCAAGCAAGUGCUCGGUCGAAGGAUACUCGUCAAGCGGACGUCACCUAACAACACUAACCUAGUGUUACUCAGGCAAGCCCCGGUGCAUGCAACCCCUUUCCUUGUGUUUUUAAAAUAAUUUUUGCACACCUUAAGUCUAGUGAAAUGUGCAUUAGGUUUAUAGGAGUUGCUUGAAACCCUUUGAUGCAUUGCUUCCUUGAUAUCCAUACCUUUAUAGAUACUUCUGUGAAGUAUCAAAAUAUGAUUUACAAAAAUGCUUAGCCCUGCUUAGAUCUUGUGGAUAGAGGUUGUCCUUAGCUUAGCUCGAGAAAGGAUGGCUUCUACCUGCAAGAAUAUUUUCAUUUGGAGCAAUGGUGGGAUCUUACUGCAAAGCUCCCUGUGAUGCUCUUUUCAUCCUUGGGAACAGAAACAAUCCUAAGGAUGGAAGUAUGUAAAUCGAGACUUGGGUUAGGAACAGGUGAUGUUCUACCCAGGUUGAUUAAGGAUUAAUGCGUAUGUAGGCUUGAUGAUCGAGGACCCUUUAACUGGUCACAUGCCUCAUCAUGGUUAAGCCUUGCCUCGGGCAGACUAAGGCCAGAAUAAGAUAACACGAAAUGGGCGUGGAGCGGUGGCGAGAGUAGCGUGUACCCUCCGUGGCAAGAGGCUGGACGGUGGUGUAUCUGUGCUCUCGGUUUGCGUGAACCUGAUCUGGUCUUAAGAACCCCGGUGGCGGGUUGACAUAUGCAAGGGUUAAGUGCUACAUAUGUCGUGUGAUUGGAGAUCCUCAGCUGAGUAUAAUCGAUUCGGAUCGCCGUACCUUCGCGGUUAUGAAGACUUGGUCACUGCCCUGCAACCUAAAGUCAGGAUGUGAACACUAUGGAUAAAAAUGAUGUUGUGUUGAUGAGAUGUUGAAAUUAGACUAGAUGCAAAUAGAGUCUAUUAAUACUUAAUAUGGCGUUAAAAGAUUGAAAGUAAGGACUCACUUUAGUAAGCUACUUCUGCAAAAGUAUAAGUUGAUUUUUGCUAAAGCCUCUCCUUGACUCCUAUUUAUCCAGCAUACCCUUGAGAGUCUUUUCCUUAGUCGGGUAAGACUUGCUGAGUAAUUCCAUACUCAGGGUUUUAUUCCCUGUUGUUUUUCAGGUUUUAGUUUUGUGCUGCUGAUGAUGGUGUUAAGUGCCGGUGGGCUCGGCCUUCUUAUAUGUCUAAGUAACCCUUCUAUACUUCUUAUUGAGGAUGAUCCCUUAAGCUAGCAUAUAUUUCAAACUUAUACUUUUGUAAUCACUCCGAUAAACUAAUGUAAAAAUUUUGUAACCUGUAAAAUUUGGUAGUAAGAUUUCCGCUGCAACAAUAUUGGUGUGUGUGAUUUGUGUUACUUAAUCCCGCGGUUCUGGUUGUAAGUGGUUUAUCCGAUGUCCUUGGGGCAAUCGGACGGAUCCUCUUAAGUUAUUUAGUGCACAUGCAUAGCUGUCUGAGGUCUUUGAGACAAGGACAGGUGCAUGUGGGCCCAAUAACUUGGGAGGUUCUGCCACAGCUGGUAUCGGAGCAGGAUUAAGUAUAUACGGUCACAUACGUAUUUUCAAAACAAAAGUUUUGGUUUCGAAAAACCUAUUUUCAACUAAACACAUUGUUUGGCUUUGAAAAAUAGUUUAAAAAAAACUAUAAUGCUAGCGACAUCCUCUAUUAAGCCCUAAGUUAAGGACUAUCAGGUGGCUUAUUUGAAAACCACUAACCCACAACCGGGUGGGUAUUGCAUACAUGUGUAUUGUUAUUUUUAAGGCCAUUCAGUUUUGAAUGGAUCGACGCCCAAGGUAAGGUGAGUUGUGAGAGCAUGACCGAACAACCGUCGGUCUAGGGAAGUGCUUAAUUGUGGUGCUUGACUAUAUACAUGUUCUACAUAUGUAUAUACGAAAGCUGCGAUGUGGAGUAAUUACUUUUCUGGGAAUUCAGUACCCCAUGGAUGUGUAUGGGUAUACAGAUAUGGGAAUACUGAGAAGUGUAAUGUACUUGUAACAACGCACCUACACUCAGGUAAGAAGGUGAGUUACCAUAAUGAGUUGCCCUAUGGUUAAAGUGUGGCAACGGCGCCUAUGCAUGGCUCGGCGCUUAACGAUGAGCUAGCCUCCAUAUAGAAAUAUAUGGAGUAUAAACUGUGAUAAACUGUCAUGUGUGAAUUGCAUCAUUGGGAAAUUGGGCUGUGAUGGAUUUUUCUGCAGGUACACUAACCUCGAAAACGUAUGUGUAGUUGACGACUAGCAAAAUAUCGUGAGUGUCGCAAGUAUGCCACCGAUAUAGAACGCUAUCGCCACAUUAUGUUGGCAAAAUUAGUAAGGACGAAUAAGACGAGCAUGCAUCCUGAUUGUUGCAUCAUGUUUGUCACCUAUACAUCCAAAAUGCUUCUCUCAUCUUUAUUCCAGUAACCAUUGAUUGUAGAUAAUGUGGUGUAAUGCUGUAGUAUGGACUUCAAUGAAAUAGUUGUCCUCCGUUCUUUAGAUAAUAUGUUUAGGUGUAUAUGUGUUUGCCCUUGUGCUUGAUGUGCCGGUAGAAUAUUGGUGAACUGUUUGUCUAAACCCAAAAUUCAAGUUUUCCGUUAUCACUCCAUGACCAAACACAUAAAAAUAAAUGGCUAGAUAAUUUCUUUGUUGGACCUAAAGUGUACCCGGACUUGAAGCAAGAAUCUCGAGUCAUGUCCCCAUCCUAAACUAUAUCCUUACUCAGUUGGUGCAAGCUGAUGUACCUUACUCAGUUCGUCUGUUCUUAAGGAUCGCCAUGUUGCUUUAUCAACCUAACCUAGGAAAGGCAUGUCCGAUUAUUUUCUUUAGUUUGAUGUCUUUGGUUUCCUCAUAUCUAUCAAAGGCAUACCAACUUAAUCUUAUGAUUAUUUUCCCUCCGUAUCUAAUCAGAUACUAAUCCGUGACCUUGAAAUUGCUGCGAUGGGCAUAGAGAUAUGCUUGGGGCUGAAGUUACAGUCUCCCAUCGUACUCCCUCACCACCUAGUUUAGGUUAUGGUCAUGCCUUGUUCAUUUUAUCGGGCCAUGAUCUAUUUGGCUCUCUACUUGUAACCAUUCAUACAGGUGGAGUAUCUCUUUGUAUAUUAUCACCCUUGCCCAGUCUAUUUGUGUUGUGCGAGAUUUCUUAUUGGUUAUGUCUGGUAAUGGUGUUAUGACUAAAACUGGUGGUGCCGUGAUGAAACCGAGGGCCUUCUGUGUGUGCGCACACAUGGUCGUGCUGCUCGGCACGCGCGAGUAUCACUGUUAGUAGUUAUAAUCCAUUAUGAGAUUAUAUCAAUGUGUUAUCUUGGCACAAUCUGUUUUUACCACGUGAGAUUCAUUAUUGGUGUUGUUCGGUAAUGGUGUCACGAUUAAUGACUUAUGGUGCCGCAGCGAAACUGAGAGCCUCCUGUGAAUGCGCACACAGGAUUGUGCUACUCGUCGGAUGCUGGUAUCAAGGUCUCUGGUCAUGAUCCAUUAUGGAACUACCCUAAUAUGUUAUCCUCCAUAAACUACUCCCUUGAAACAAUUUCUAUGUUGUUUGUCAAGUGAUCAAGCAACAUCUAUCAUCUUUGUUGGAUCAAAAGGGCAUACCACUUUCGUGUGUGGUCUCUUUCCUUUUGAUCUUGGUAUUGACUACUCAUACAAGUUCCAUUUACGUCCUUUGUGUAAAGGUGAAGCCUUGGAGCUUUUUAGUGUCGAGAGACAACUGAUUAGCUCUCAAAAUGGAGAUCUGUUUUCCCUGCUGCUGAGAUGCAGGAGUUUGUUCAUUCCCUCUCUUAUUUAAUCCAUGUAUUCCCUAACCAAGUCAGUUCAUCUCGCAUGAAGAAACGGGUGAACAACCUGACCAAAUGGACUUCUAUUCAAAUACAUGAUCUCUUGUUAACCAGAGUGAACUCUCAACCCUUGGCUUACCGAUGGUACUGAGAGGACAUGCCCAAUGUCAAAAGUGGUUCAACAAGUUGGUUUUGACUAACUUGUAACUGCCCAGUGAACAAAGGUUGAGUUUAGAGAUCGUUUUGUCGAGUUGUCUAAACUCACUCUGGUUUAACCCACCCUGAAGAAAGCAGAUAUAAGGAUCGAGAUUAAGUUGACUAGUAACCCCCUAAUUAUCGCUCUAGUUAUGCCUCGAUCGCCUCACGUGUGUUUUCCCAGCAUAUGUGAUCAAGUCGAGCCAUGCCUAGUGCUUGAUAAAAUGGACUGGUCGUAAAGUCCAUAUCUACUGAUCCCUCCGCUGGUGAUUUUCUCGAAUCUAUAUCACCUUUCAGGGACUUGGAUUUUCUGGUUGGCCACGGGUCAACUGUGAUGUUAUUUGACAUUCACACCCGUCUCGUGUGCUAUAAACUUACCGUGACCACUUGUUGGUAAACCUCUUUCUGGGUGUUUUACCCAAGAGGUUGCAUCUGGUUCUGUUUGGGUAAAGUCGCAUAUUCACCGCUCACUCAACAGACUCAGAUAGUAUAGUGUCAUCAGAAAAAGCAAACUGCACACAUGUAACCUUAUGUGUUUCUCUAGCAGCCAUCGUCUCUAUUGGUGGACAUUUCUAAAUUAGCCUAAGGCGAUACAUGUUAUGUCCACUAGAGAAACCACAUCCUGAGACACUCGCCUUUAAUUGGAAACGUCUCACGAUUAUCGCUGAUAUGAACAUGGGUUACAUACUUCUCUACCCUUAGAAGUCUUUCGCUCCGAAUCUCGGGACGAGAUUCUUUUAAGGGGGGAGGGCUGUAACACCCCAGGUGUUUAUAUUCCGCUCGACAACGAGUACGGAUUUAAACACGUGAUAUCAGUGAAUAAGACGGACACUAAGGUCUAAUUAUCUUCUCCUAGCGCAAUUUUAAUAUCGUAUUUGAUCGGCUGUCGCGCGUGCGACGUCGUUUUUAUUUCUAUCUGUUCGGGCUCGUCCUAAAUUUUCGUGAUGUUCGGAACAUUGUGGUUCCGAAAAUCGGUGCGUCCGGUGAUUAUUUAAAACUCAUCGCUCACGUGAAUACGAAUUCGGAAGCCCGACACACUCGGAUGAUUGUAUUCCGAACAAAUUAAUUUGAACCCGACGAUUAAAAUGUUCGAGACGAAAUAAUCUGUAUCGCGCGUCGUCCGAGUGAAAUCGUGCGCGCGAAUAAGAUUCAAUUUAUCCGUCCGCACGCUGUUUUGACGACGAAAUCGCGUAGACAUUAGCGGCUUUGGUUUCGGCUAAUUUCGGUCGAAUCACGCAGAGCAAAAUUAACAAAGCCGAAAUAUGUUUAAUUCGGUCCGUUUCUUUUUGCCUUGAUUUAAAAAGGUGAAUUAACGGUACGCAUUCAUCCGACUCCCGAGUAUUCGUCAAAUCAAAACCGUGUCACAAUUACUGUUUACAUCGUAAACAUCGCUAAAUAUCGGGAUCCAAAAUAUCUUCGAUUUCUGUUAAUAAAAAGAGAGAAAUAAAAAAAGGAAAUAUCCCUUCAUCUCAAUCUCCAGUCGUCUCCUUCCUAUCCCCAUCCCGCCGCCCUCCCCGGAUUUUUUUCUUCACCGCCGCUCAAGCACCUGGAUGAGGAUCGAUGCUGUCGCCAGGAUUUUUUUUCCUCGCCGUGCUCUUCUGCUGAAAUCGGUGCCCAGCCACUCCUCUACAGCCGUUGCCAUCUCCCUCCUGUAGCUCGUCUUCUACGCGCCAGAUCUUCGUCCAGCCGCCUUGGCUCUGCUCGAUUUUUCCAUCGCCGAGUGCAUCCCUAUCUUCUCCACAGCGCCCAGCCGUACUCCGAUUUUUUCUGCCGCCGUUCAAGUCUGAUUUUUUUGUUCUCACCGCCUACGGCCGUUGGCCUCAUCUCCUCGCCGUGUGCUUAUCUUCUCCCUCCCCUCCGAUGUCUCCCUCCCCAACGACGCGACUUCAAGUGCCCAGCGUCGUGCUCCCCCAGCCUCUGCUCCUCUCUCUCCCUACGCCCUGUCGAAGCCCUUCUAUGGCGCGCGUGGAUUUCUCCUCCUCCAUCCCCAGCCAGCCAGCGAGCUCCUCCCUCCUCCCUGCAUCCAUGGAGCUCGGCGCCCAUCUCCAUGGCUCGCCCUGCGUCCAGCCGCCGUGCCCGGUUCCGAGGCUUCUUCUCUGCGCGUUUCAUCUCCAGCUCGGCGACCACAACCUCUCCCGCCCCAUCCCCGACAAUCUUGGUCGACCCGGCGCUCGUGCAGGAGGUUUUCGUGGACAACAUCCUUAACGUCAACCUCGGCCAAGCUCCGGCAGGGCAGGCAGCCCUUGGCGCCGGCUUGCCCAACUCCGUGCCAUGUACCACCGUCAACAAAGUUUUCUCCUCGGGUAUGAAGGCUGUCAUGUUGCGGCUCAAAGUAUUCAGCUGGGAAUCAACGAUGUCGUGGUCGCUGGUGGCAUGGAAAGCAUGUCGAAUACCCCAAAAUAUGGGUGCUGAAUUGUGUUCAGACCAGCACUCAAUCUCACGGGAGGUGCAGAAUUCGUAUGCUAUCCUCAGCAAUGAACGUGGCAUAGCAGCUCAGGAUAGCGGUGCAUUUUCUUGGAGAGAUUAGUUGGAUAUUGGAGGUUUGUUUAUGGUUCAUGGCCAUGGAUGCUGAUGAGCCGUCUCGAGUCCUGCCGAAGACAACGCCUGUCCUCGUCACCAACCCUGCUCGCCCAGAUCCAUAACUCCCUAGUUCAAGUCGGCUGAUUCGUGUGCUGGGGAGCCGUUCUCAGUUGCUCGCCAUGGUCGGCUGCUGCUCCCUAAUCGCCUCAGCCACAACCUCACUGUCGUUCUUCAGCUCGCUGCGCGCUAAGCUCCCUUGUCGUAGUUUUCUCGUGCGCAGCGUUUCGUGGUCCCUCGUCGUGCCGAGUUAUCCUCUACACGCAGUCGUUUCCUAUUUUCUGCUCGCCAGUGUGCCCUCUCGGCUCGCUUGGCCUUAAUUCUCAUCGCGUCAUCGAUUCCGCUGGUCAGCGUCGUUCGUCAUCGUGUCGCGUGUGUAGCUCUAUAUACGUCACCCUCUUGUGUCGUCGUCGUUCCGUGCGUCAUCAAGAAAUUCCAAGAAUCGAGUGAAGACGAAGCCAGCAGCGUGAUAUUCACCAAGUGCGCGACCAAAAAGCUCAGACAUCCUGCGCGACUCAAGUUCAAUUCGUCGAAAUUAUUCAAUCGAAGAAAAUAUCUUCAGCAAUUAGUUACCGAAGAAAAGAAGGCUCCUGGAUGACAUCAACCGGAACCCGUAGUCGUGCUUGCGACUAUCGCGUCGAAUUAGUCAGGGUAAGUUGGUUCGUAUUCCCAUUAACUAGGUCUAUAAAUAGAUUAAAUAGAAUUGUUGGUCACAAUAAAUAUUAUUAAUUUAGUAUGCGUAUAUUGUGAUGAUUGAUUUAGAUAGCUCGCUAAAUCAAGUAAUUAAGUUACACAGUUUAGAGAGUUAAUAAAAAGCUAAGAAUAAAAAUAGAUUUUCUAGUGUAAUAUGUCAAUUUGAUUAAUGGAUAUAGUCGAUGUCCUGCUGUGAUAUCCAUGGUGCUUAAUGCUUGGUUUUAAGUGUUUCAUGCUUUUUAGCGUAGAUUAUCUAUAUUAUACUCGUUAUAUAUGUGCUCAUACAUGUGCAUCAUGCAUCUCAUGAGGUACGAUAAAUAAUCGCGUGAUGCGGAAGAAGAACCAAGCCGACCCCAAGCGUGGGCUAAUCUGCAAGCUGAAGCUGAUGAAUCAACCUGAAGACGGUUAAAUCAAGCAAGUGCUCGGUCGAAGGAUACUCGUCAAGCGGACGUCACCUAACAACACUAACCUAGUGUUACUCAGGC
rnacentral:lncRNA from 1 species